rnacentral:rRNA from 1 species
AGCAGCCGCGGUAAUUCCAGCUCCAAUAGCGUAUAUUAAAGUUGUUGCAGUUAAAAAGCUCGUAGUUGAACUUCGGGGUUUACCCAUUGGUCAGGCUUAAUUGUCUGUACUGGUGAGAUGAAUCUCUACCUUCUGAGGAACUUUCAUGCCAUUUAUUUGGUGUGAUGGGAAAUCAGGACUGUUACUUUGAAAAAUUAGAGUGUUUAAAGCAGGCUAAAGUCUGAAUACAUUAGCAUGGAAUAAUGAAAUAGGACGGACUGAUUCUAUUUCGUUGGUUUCUAGGAUCACCGUAAUGAUUAAUAGGGAUAGUUGGGGGCAUUAGUAUUCAAUUGUCAGAGGUGAAAUUCUUGGAUUUAUUGAAGACUAACUACUGCGAAAGCAUUUGCCAAGGAUGUUUUCAUUAAUCAAGAACGAAAGUUAGGGGAUCGAAGACGAUCAGAUACCGUCGUAGUCUUAACCAUAAACUAUGCCGAC